GGCGAACCGAGUGAACUGAAACAUCUAAGUAGCUCGAGGAAAAAGACAUCAACCGAGAUUCCGAAAGUAGUGGCGAGCGAAAUCGGAGGAGCCUUCUAGUGAUAGUCAGACGGUUAACAAAGCGGCAUGGAAAGGCCGGCCAUAGUGGGUGAUAGCCCCGUAUGUGAAAACCGACUGGUGGUACUGAGCUAGAGAAAAGUAGGGCGGGGCACGAGAAACCCUGUCUGAACAUGGGGGGACCAUCCUCCAAGGCUAAAUACUCAUCAUCGACCGAUAGUGAACCAGUACCGUGAGGGAAAGGCGAAAAGAACCCCGGGAGGGGAGUGAAAUAGAUCCUGAAACCGCAUGCUUACAAAAAGUAGGAGCCCGCAAGGGUGACUGCGUACCUUUUGUAUAAUGGGUCAGCGACUUACAUUCAGUGGCGAGCUUAACCGAAUAGGGGAGGCGUAGAGAAAUCGAGUCCGAACAGGGCGUUCAGUCGCUGGGUGUAGACCCGAAACCAAGUGAUCUAUCCAUGGCCAGGAUGAAGUGCCGUAACAGGUACUGGACGG
rnacentral:rRNA from 1 species